GGAAAGAUACCGUGAUCAACAAGGUGUUUUUUCCAGGUUGAGGUCUGUCCCUUGCACUCUGGGCAAGCUGACCCCUGCAAUUUCCCCAAGGUGUUUCUUC
rnacentral:snRNA from 1 species